rnacentral:lncRNA from 1 species
AAGCCCUUCUGAAACCUAUGAUGCUUGGUCUAAAAGACAGAGGUUUGUCAUUGGUGACAGUAUCAGUAAGUCAAUCACUCUUAAUUCUCAUCUUAUCUACUAAUUGCUUGCUUGAUUUUUUUUUUAUUUUUUAUUUUGUUGACAAGUGUAUAGAUAAUAGAUCCAUGGUUGAAGAUAAGUUUAUUUAAAAGUCUGCCAAAUAUAUUUAAAUGCUGAAAUUUUGAAAAGUAGCAUCAUGAAGUGUGUCAGUUUUAGGUUUAUAAAAUUGUAACCGUCUCAACUGAAUUCUUGUUGUAUUGACAAGCAAGCCCCAUACUACUGUUAAAAUAUGUUGAUACAAUUAUUGUUGUAUUAUAAACCGCUUUUUUUCCUCUCAACUUUCUGUUCUAAAAAUCGAUGAUUAAUUAAUCCAUAUUUCGUAAUUUGUUGAACUGAUUAAAUCCGAUUAUUCAAUUAAUCAUCUGAUUAUUCCCCAAUCAAUUCAACUAAUCACCGAUUAAUCCUUAUUCCGUGACUUCACCGAUUAAGUCCGAUUUUCGUUUCCUACAACACUGUCCUUCAAUAAUGAUUGGAUAAACCCAACAAAAAAACUUACAUAGUUACAUUAUAAUCGAUGAGUUCUUGGUCCAGUUGUAUCACUCUCAUUUUCUUUACGGUUGUCUGGUGGUCCUCUAGUAUAUGUCGAGGGUGGUGCGUGACAGAUUUUUUAGGGCUAUACGGACUAGAACAGUAGACUUUCUCCCUCUGUUAGACUUGUUCCAGAAAUGUCUGCAAUCGAGUAAUUAGCUCUACGAACAAAUGGAUCAGGAGCUGGCGACCGAAGCCACAGUGAACGCAGGCGGCCGUAACUAUAACGGUCUCAAUGUCCCUGCUAUUCACGGAAUGUGAGAAGCAAUCUUUCAUAUCUUUGGAGAUCCACCUUACGAUAUAGAGUAAAAAAAGCUGUGUUUAAUUAUAAGAAGAGCACUUACAUACCUCAGUUUAAAUUACCUCAAAACAGAAUAUAGGAGCUAAUAACAGAUGAUCAUGUCCAAUUUUUUCUUGAACUCCAUUAUUAUAUAGGCUUUGAAUGAAAUUUAGCUGGUUAAUCGUAACAUUCUGGUGUUAUUUGAUUAUUUAUGUUGUAGCUUUCAAAUACACACAAGGAGUAGACUCUGUCUUGGCUGUGAACAAAAAUGACUACGACACUUGUAACGUAAACAAUCCCAUUACCAAAAUGGAGGAUGGUAAUUCAGUUUUCAAGCUAGACAAAGCAGGCCCUUUUUAUUUCAUCUCUGGAAAUAAAUCAAACUGUGAUCAAGGUCAGAAGCUGAAUCUUGUCGUGAUCUCUCCCAAGAACCACCACACGGCUACUUCACCUGUAGCUUCUCCACCUGCUCCUACUGCAAUGACACCCUUGUCGCCGGUGGCUACUUCACCUGUAGCUUCUCCACCUGCUCCUACUGCAAUGACACCCUUGUCGCCAGAGAUUCCAGCCAUGCCUGCUCCAACUGUGUCCGCUGAGGCUCCAAUGUCAGGGCCAGGAACAGGUCCAGUUGCAGCAGCAUCCACUCCGUCAGGAGCGCCACCUCCAAC